GACACUUUGGCCGAGUGGUUAAGGCGGCAGCCUGCUAAGCUGUUGGGCUCUGCCCGCGCGGGUUCGAAUCCCGCAGGUGUCG
rnacentral:tRNA from 1 species